rnacentral:tRNA from 1 species
GACCCCUUAGCUCAGUGGUAGAGCGUGUGAUUCCAGCCAAUGCGGGUCCACAAGGUCGUGCGUUCAACUCGCUCAGGGGUCA